rnacentral:rRNA from 1 species
AGUGAACGCUGGCGGUAGGCCUAACACAUGCAAGUCGAGCGGCAGCACAGUAAGAGCUUGCUCUUACGGGUGGCGAGUGGCGGACGGGUGAGGAAUACAUCGGAAUCUACUUUUUCGUGGGGGAUAACGUAGGGAAACUUACGCUAAUACCGCAUACGACCUACGGGUGAAAGCAGGGGAUCUUCGGACCUUGCGCGAUUGAAUGAGUCGAUGUCGGAUUAGCUAGUUGGCGGGGUAAAGGCCCACCAAGGCGACGAUCCGUAGCUGGUCUGAGAGGAUGAUCAGCCACACUGGAACUGAGACACGGUCCAGACUCCUACGGGAGGCAGCAGUGGGGAAUAUUGGACAAUGGGCGCAAGCCUGAUCCAGCCAUACCGCGUGGGUGAAGAAGGCCUUCGGGUUGUAAAGCCCUUUUGUUGGGAAAGAAAAGCAGCAGGUUAAUACCCCGCUGUUCUGACGGUACCCAAAGAAUAAGCACCGGCUAACUUCGUG